GACGUAGGGCGCGAGCGUUGUCCGGAUUUAUUGGGCGUAAAGAGCUCGUAGGCGGCUUGUUGCGUCGACUGUGAAAACCUGCGGCUCAACCGUGUGGUCUGCAGUCGAUACGGGCAGGCUGGAGUUCGGUAGGGGAGACUGGAAUUCCUGGUGUAGCGGUGAAAUGCGCAGAUAUCAGGAAGAACACCAAUGGCGAACGCAGCUCUCUGGGACGGUACUGACGCUGAGACGCGAAAGCGUGGGGAGCGAACAGG
rnacentral:rRNA from 1 species